GCUGGGCGCGGUGGUGCAUGCCUGUAGUCCCAGCUACGUGGGAGGCUGGGGCUGGAGGAUCGCUUGAUUCCAGGAGUUCUGGGCUGUAGUGUACUAUGCCGAUCGGACUAAGUUCGGCAUCAGUAUGGUGACCUCCCAGGAGCAGGGGAUCACCAGGUUGCCUAAGGAGAGGUGAACCAGCCCAGGUCCGAAAUGGAGCAGGUCAAAACUCCCGUGCUGAUCAGUAGCGGGAUCGCGCCUGUGAAUAGCCACUGCACUCCAGCCUGGGCAACAUAGUGAGACCCCGUUUCU
rnacentral:SRP_RNA from 1 species